CAGUUAUGCUUGUCCCCCAAGAUAAAGGAAGGCUUGAAAAUGAGUAACAAAAGUUUCUUUACAGAGGCUUUAAAUUACUUGGGAUUUUAUAUUUAAAUGAUUCUCCAGUAGAAAAGUUAUAAAAUGAGACAGGGGAACUGAUCUACUGAAGAUACGUUGGUUGUACAAACAUGGGAUUAAAAAGCCUCCCAUCAUCGAUUGGCAAUCUUCACACUUUACAAACUCUAUUUUUAACUUGUGUUUAUCACAUCAAAAUAUCCAGCACAAUUGGAAGAUGCACCAGUUAAGACAUUUCCAUAUGGAGCACACCUGGACUUCUUUGGGAGGGUAUCUCAUCUAAAGGUGUCCACAACUUGACUAGACAAGUAACCUCAAGACUGUAACAUAUGUAAGAGCUGGCAAUUGAAUCUAUGGUUGCUUAGCAAAGCUGACUAAUUUUAGAAAAUUAGGAAUACAUUUAAGAGUCGGAAGUGUAUGUUGAGGUGGUGUAUGAAUCAAUUGUCAAAUUGGACUGCCUCCAGUCUUUGUUUGUGUCAUCAGGAGUCAACCCACAGAGAAUUCCAACAUCGGUGACCCAUCCACAUCUUCUCAAGUUUUUUAAGUUGUAUUUGUGCGGAAGUUAGAGAAGCUACCCGAGUGUUGUAAAUUCCCAACAAACCUCACCUACCCUACCCUAGAAUGGCUCAGGGAUCCACCAAUGCUUUGACCAGAGAGUUUUUAUACACAAAAGAUUGAAGGAUAGUGAUUGAAGGAUUAGGAGCUUCAAUCUGUACGAAUUUUGGAGCAUCUUCCAUCCAAGGGAGGGUCUAACAGACCAAUAGUUUGGAUCUUCCAACUGCAGCCCCAGCUGUACAGACUGUGACACCUGGACAUUUACACCCACCUGUUUUAUUCUUAAUAUCAUUAUGACAGACGCAAGUGAAGCACCUGGACAGAUAAGGAAAAUGGUGGCAUGGGAAUCUAUUACCUUUGGUGGUUUCUUUCCUCACUUCCUAUAUUGUAAUGAAGGCGGCUCAAGAGAAACAAACAGUCUGAUCUGGUGAUUGUGGGAAGAAUUAAGGAUAAUCUUAUCCUCGGGCCAGUCAAGCACAGAGUUUUUCAAAGGGCUUUCCCUGGCAUCUCUAUGUGGCAUAUGGAGUGAGAUUUUGUGGUCCAAGUUAAUGUCUCUUUGAGAUGAUCUGGACAGCCUGAUCUAGAGGCUGGCCACUGGUUCUUCAAAUUCGACGGUGAUCGUUGCAUAAGGAUUUUGAUGACAUUCCAAAUUCUAGCAUGAGGAUGUAUGUAUGUGUGUAUUUUCUUUUUUCCCUUAACAAUCUUUUGAUAUGUUACCCUGUGCCAUCUCAGGACAUCAUACAUUCAGUAGUUUUCACAGGGGUUUCAUGUAAUAUUCUUAUUGAGAGUUCAAAUGGAAGAAAUUUUUCUGUGUUUUUUUUUUUUCCUCCCACGGACCACUCUUUCCUCUAAUGUUUUAUAAAAUGCAUGAUAGAGAGUU